AAAGCAAUGAAGAGAAUAGAGGAGAUUCGAGUAAAAAGACAAAACCAAUUUAUUCUUAACAGAUUAAAUAAGGGCAAAGAACUCAGGAAAGAAGCGAACGUGAAGGAGGUUGAAACAAAUAUACACUUAAUCAGAGCACCAGCGGCCCGAGCCAAAAAACUUGAGAAGAAGAUGGUACAGGUGAUACAGGAAGCUGAUGAUGAAGACAUGGAAGAAGUUUAGGGAUCCAAAGAGAGUGGAUGUAGCAGGAGUGGGAAGAUCAUUACUGUACACUGACAUUCUAUUGAAUGACAAACUGUUAUGUGACCUUGAUUGUUUUAUUCUUCAUCAAAAUGGAGAAGUUUUUCUUUUU